rnacentral:rRNA from 1 species
UUAAAUUGAAGAGUUUGAUCAUGGCUCAGAUUGAACGCUGGCGGCAGGCCUAACACAUGCAAGUCGAACGGUAACAGGAAGAAGCUUGCUUCUUUGCUGACGAGUGGCGGACGGGGGAGUAAUGUCUGGGAAACUGCCUGAUGGAGGGGGAUAACUACUGGAAACGGUAGCUAAUACCGCAUAACGUCGCAAGACCAAAGAGGGGGACCUUCGGGCCUCUUGCCAUCGGAUGUGCCCAGAUGGGAUUAGCUUGUUGGUGGGGUAACGGCUCACCAAGGCGACGAUCCCUAGCUGGUCUGAGAGGAUGACCAGCCACACUGGAACUGAGACACGGUCCAGACUCCUACGGGAGGCAGCAGUGGGGAAUAUUGCACAAUGGGCGCAAGCCUGAUGCAGCCAUGCCGCGUGUAUGAAGAAGGCCUUCGGGUUGUAAAGUACUUUCAGCGGGGAG